rnacentral:lncRNA from 1 species
UGAAAAUGAAUUAUGACUAUUUGAAUAUAAUAAAAAUAUUUAAUAAAAUAUUCUAUUUUCGUAUAAAACAAUAUUUAUAGAGUUACCGGUAAAUAAUUUUUGUUGCGUAAAAGCUAAAUAAAUUCAUACAUACUGUAAUACAGAUAACCAAAGUAUAAAAUUUAAUUUACAGUGACAUGUGGGCCCACGAACGACCAAAAGUAUUAAAAGCGGUAAACCUACAGUUUUUUAGGAUGCAAGUCCAACUGUAGCCCUCAAUAAAGUGAGCUAUCUACUAACUAUCCUGAGCCUGAAAUGGGUGAAAAUGAAGGUGGUGAGAUUAUAUAAUCCCAGUGAGUAAACAAAUAUCAUCUAAAAUAUAUAAAGCUGAGUAAAUGGAGACAGAUAAAAUAGAUUAGCAUAAAAAUGAUUCACAGCAUUUCGAACUCAUUUUAAUAAGAUAAAAUAAAUUCAUUUCACCCAAAUAAACAACAAGGCUUAUGAUUUCCUAAAAAGUUUGGCUCGUGCCAAAAUCAUUAUCAUACUUAGUUAUCAAGGAUACCUUGGCCGAGGGCUAUCCCAACCGAGUCCGCCAAGGCUGUUAAAAAGUUAUGUACGCAUAAAUCAUGUUUUUAUUUUGAAAACAUAGUCGUUCCUUAGCGUUAGCGGAGUUCACCCUCACGUGGUGGUUUGGCGUGAAGUGAACUCUAAAGUUUUAACCUUAGGAGUUAUCCAACCGCACCUCUCAUACUGAGGUAUGAAUAUAAUAGGGUUACCGUGCCCCUCUAAAAGGUUGGUCCACUAAACCCGUCCACUGUAGCGACCAAUUUAUAACCCACCAAUUCAAUAAAAUUCAACAGCAUGACAUGGAAAUUAUUUUAUUUUGCAGCCUCUCAAGGCAAAUCAACAAUUCAUACUUUUUCAGCACAUUUACCAAAUCAACCAUUCAUGCCAAUAUUAUCAUAAGCCAUUUAAUUAGAACCAUAAAUUCACAAUACAUCAAAUGGUCUCCAAUUACUCUAUUUUCAAAACCAUCAUUCAAUUUCAAGACAAUUUUAUAAAAUGAUUUCAUUUAAUCACAUUUUGCUUAUAAAACAUAAAGAUUUACCAUUUAAACUCAUUUGCCAUAAAAUCACAAAAUCGAAGAAAAACCACUUUAGAUAAUUAAGAUGAUAGUAAGGUUAAUCACUAUUUCGGGAGUCGAAUUCCGAAUACUCCGAUUCUUGAUCCUCGGGUACUAUCACUUUACCUUUGCCAGAAAGCUCACCACCUAGACAUAAUGCACAAUAAGCCCUUUACUACAUUUGUGCUAAAUCGUUGUAAAACCAAUUCAGGCUUUAUACUAAUGCAUGAAAUGGGAUGUGAAAUGCUCCAGUAACUAUCUAAAUACGGUGUUCAAUAUAAAUUCAAUUAUGUACCUAAAUAAAAUGGUAUUGGCCUAAUUCGAUCUAUCACUCGAUUAAUUGGCCAAUAUGUCCAAUUUAACUCCAUUUUUCUUUCAAUUCUCUAAACCAUCAAACACAAGUUAAAUAACUUGAAAUAUGGCAAAAUCAUCCUCACAUUUUCUCUUGGAAAAUUCGGCCAUGAUGGGUGCAUCAACACUAUAAUUUUUCCUACUUGAUUUUCUCACCAUAAUUCAUCAUUUCCUAACCAAUUCACUUGAAAUAAAAUCAAAUCCACCAUCAACACUCUACAAGGAAGAUUCGACCAAUGAUGAACUCAUGAGGAAUGUGUGAAUUUCAAGCUUAAUUCUUACACUUAACACCAUAAACAACAAAAAACAUCCAUAUAUCUUAAAAAUCUAUCUAAAUCAUCAUCAAAUUCUCUCUCCUAGGGUUUGAUCAGCACACUAUCCUUCAUGAUAUCUUGUGAUUCAACCAUGGAAAAUAAGAAAAAAAUGCUUAAGAAAGAGAGAUCUCAAGCUUAAUUAAAAAAUCUUACCUUUUUUCACUUGUUUCCUUGAAUUUUCACACUUUUCCCUUGAAUUUUUCCACCUAGGGUUUUGUUCUUUCUUUUCUUCCUUUGUUCUUGGUAUGGCCGGCCAUGAGAAAUGAG